rnacentral:lncRNA from 1 species
UCCAGAGCAAAAUUUAAAAUAAUCAAUCCAUUUUGAAGGGUAAAACGUGCGAGCAUAAAUAUAAGAAGUAGCAACAAUUUGUUUAUUACAACAACACAUACACAUGGAUCCUCAUGAAUAGAUGCCUCUUUUACUUGUUUAAGCUCGAUCCAUGAGAACCCUAAUAAUACUACACAUGAUUUGACAUCUUGGUUAGUGAAUCAUGGCACAUCAAUUCUUCAUGAAAUAGGUAUGAAAUUUGAUGCCCCAACAAAUUUGUGGACUAUUAUAUUUAUUAUUGAUGUAUAGAAAGUGUAUAAAAAUAGGUAUCAGUUAGUAAAAUUUAGUUUAGUAUGUAUAAACAUUUUUACUAUAUGAAAUAGGUAUGAAAUUUGAUACCUCAAAAAUUUUAUGGAAUAUUAUAUUCUUUAUUGAUGUUUAGAAUGCAUAUAAAUUGGUAUCAAUUAGUAAGUUUAAUUUAAUAUGCGUAGAUAUCUUACGGUAUGAAAUAUGUAUGAAAUUUGAUAUUCCAAUAAAAUUGUGAAUUAUUAUAUAUUUUAGAAAGUGUAUAAAAAUUGGUAUAAAUUAUUAUUGUAGGUAUUAAUAUUUUACUAUGUGAAAUAGGUAUGAAAGUAGAUACCCCAACAAAUUUGAAAUUAUUACAUCUUUUAUUGGUGUUUAAAAAGUGUAUAAAUUCCCAACUACCCAUGAGUAAAGAACAACAAAUUGUGUAUUAUUUUUAAAAAGUGUAUCAAAUAUUAAAUUUACUAUAGUAUAUAUAAAUGUUUGUAUCCAUAUUCUGCAUUGAAAUGUUUUGCUGGAAUGAUCUUUGUGUACACAAAGAAGGCCACAACCAAUAGUUGGCCCAACCCAAAUGAUCCAAUGUCCAUCCCAAAGGUGACCUCCUCUAAUAAGCGCGGGCCCCAACACCUCGCCGGAUUAAUCCCCGCCCCUCCAUAGCCCUUUUUCCCGGUGACCGUGGUCGAGAUAAACACUAGAAGGCCUAACACUACACCAACAAUGGACAAGUCCAAGAGAACCCUAAUAAUACUACACACAUGAUUUGAAUAUCUUGGUUAAUGAAUAAUGGCACAUCAAUUCUUCACAACCUUAGAGCAUUGCUUAUUAACAAAGUCCUUAACCUCAAGAAUAAGUUGUGUAGCUUCAGGAACCUCAGGGAAAAUGUAGAAAGCAUGCACCAUAGUUGGAUACUCUGAGAAGUGAACAUCUUUGCCAGACCUCUUAAGCCAGUCAUAGUACCUCCUUUGCCAAUCUUUAAGGGGAUCAAAACCACCCACGACUACCAUCGUUGCUGGAAAAUUGUCCAGCUUUGAUAUGUCAACAGCCCUUGGACCGCAAACAUUAAUAACCUCAUGAUCGCGAUCCAUCCCUUCACCUGGUGGAAGGAACGCGUUCCACAUCCAAUCUGUUCUUCUCACUGAUAUCAAUGCGUCAACUUCUACUAGUUUUAAUUCUGAUUCCGUUCGUUCCUCCCCUCCAAAAAAGG